UCUCUCUCUCUCUCUCUCUCCACCCAAUCUCUUUUUCAUUUUCUACUCGAAUUCCACCGGUUCACAAAUCAAUUGAAUCAUCGAAUUCGAUAAGCACGGGCAAGCGGCUCAGUAUUGAGCCUUUGGAGCUCAGUUUCUCAUGUCAAAUGGUGAAGACUCCGGCAAUCGGAAGCUGGAGCUGCUAGGCUUGGAGGGCAAAUGACAAACGAGGAGGUCAAGAGCUUGAACAAACGGUUGUUGCUGGGACAGAACAAAGCCACGAGCAACACUUCCUGUAAAGGCAGAUAAUAAGGAGAAGGUGGUGGUGUUGAAAACACCCGAGGCGGUGAAAAUACCGAAGCUUUACGGGCAAAUCUACAAGACCAUUGUUUUAUCCGUCAAGAGUUGAGACCCCAUUGGCAAAUCUACAAAGUUUCAAAAACUGAAAAUGAAACUGGGAUAAUUUCCAAUAGAAGUUGCUCCUGCAUUCUAGGAAAGUGGGUUCUAAGUGGUAAGCAAAAUUAAGGGUGAAUUGAUCAACAAAAGAAUCUGAACCACCUAAUCACAAAUAAGUGAUCAAUUAAUAAAAUAAUAUUAAAAUGUAUAUAAUAAUAAAGUUGGGGAAGCAAUUGCUCCCAUUUUCUUUAAACGUGCAAAAUGGUUUGAGGAGGUGGCCACUCUCCAUUAGCCACGAUGAGUUUUACCUCCCUUUCAGGAGGAAGGCGGAUGACAAGAAGAAAAAAAAAAUUCCAAAACCUGAAGGGGGAACGAACGGCCACAAGAAAAAAGGAGAGAAAGAACUGGCUGACAAAAUGGCAUAUUUGUAAAUAAGGAAAAGUUUACUUCUAACAGAAUUGGCUGACAGAAUAGCAUUGCUGUUAGGGGCAAAGGUGUAAAAAAAAAUCAUUUCGUUUUAGGCUUUUAGUUCAGCCCAUGUGUGUUAAAUGUUU
rnacentral:sRNA from 1 species